GAGGUCCUGGUCCAGGUAGAGGAGCAGGUGGAGGUCCUGUUCCAGGUUGAGGAACAGGUAGAGGAGCAGGUGGAGGUCCUGGUCCAGGUUGAGGAACAGGUAGAGGAGCAGGUGGAGGUCCUGUUCCAGGUU